AGUAAAGUAAAUACAGACAGAUUAUUACAUUGAUAAAUUAUUAUGAAAAAAAUUAAAUUAAUUCAAAUUUCGAAAAAAAGGAAUUAAUUUACUGAUAGAAUUUCUAUCGGUAAGGUGGAUAAAAAUGAAAUCCUUAAAUCCCUUCUUAUUUUCUACCCUGCGUUGAAAUCCCUAAACCCCCCUUUUCACCGUUCUCUCCCCCACUUAUCUCUGCCAUUCUCCCCUCACCGCCACGCCUUUGAUCGUCUUUUACGGUGCUGUCGAUCGUCGUCAGUAGUCCGGUUGGUUCCUUUCCUCGUCCGAUGAUGUCGUCCGUCGUCUGGCGUUGGCUCUUUCAACAGGCUGAUAAUGUGGAAAAUUCAGAGUCUGAACAACGAAGUAGACUACUUAAAGAAUGAUUUGCGCCAUGUCACCGUGACUGCAGCAUCCAGCUUGAUAAUAGCUUAUGGACUGAUAAAUACCAGCCAAAAAAUGCCACAAAGGUGAGAUGUUAUUAGCUUGUCUGUUCUGAACUGCUAUUGAUACUAAAAGGCAGAUGGGCAGAGGGAAGUAGUACUAUAAUAUUUCAUUUGUAUUCAAGCAAUCAAAGUCUUCAAUAACAAUGGCAAAAUCAACAUACACGAAGAUGAUGAUAAUUUUUGCUGAGGGUUGAGCUUAGGUCUUUCAUAGAUCAGAUGAUGUAAUUGAUGAAAUUCAAUACUAUAUUAUUCAGGACUUGUAUUAUGGAAUUUAUGGAUUUCAGUACUAUAUUUUAUAGAUUUUAACUUUAUAAUUUGGAUUGUUCUAGAAUUUAUGUGGAUAUAA